GAAAUCAGUUCAGCACUAAGUCACUUUGUCUAUAUGGCAAAUGUGAGAUGCAGUGUAUGGAACGUCAAUAUUCUAGUAUGAGAAAUUAACGAUUUAAGUCCUUCUUAAAUGAGGCCAUUUACCCAUAGAGGGUGCCAGGCCCGUAUAACGUUAAUGAUUAUUAGAUGAUGUUUCCAAAGAGUCGUGUUGCUUGAUAGUGCAGCACUAAGUGGGUGGUAAACUCCAUCUAAAACUAAAUAUAACCAUGAGACCGAUAGUAAACAAGUACCGUGAGGGAAAGUUGAAAAGAACUCUGAAUAGAGAGUUAAAUAGUACGUGAAACUGCUUAGAGGUUAAGCCCGAUGAACCUGAAUAUCCGUUAUGGAAAAUUCAUCAUUAGAAUUGUAAUAUUUAAUCAAUAUUAUAACGAUAGUGUGCAUUUUUUCCAUAUAAGGACAUUGUAAUCUAUUAGCAUGUAUGGAAUUUAUCAAACAAUUUUGAUAAGAGUUUAUUUAAAUUAGAGUGCUUGCAUUUUAACAUAAAAUAAAUUUCAAAAAUUUGAUAAAGUGCUGAUAGAUUAUAUGAGUACAGUGCGUUAAUUUUUCGGAAUUAUAUAAUGGCAUGAUUAUCAUUGAUUUUUAUGUUUAUUAUAAGCACUUGUAUGAUUAACAAUGCGAAAGA
rnacentral:rRNA from 2 species